ACAGAGAGUACUUCGUGUGUGGAAAGAGUUUCCAGAGGAGGUGGUGGAUGCGGGUGCGUUUAUAAUGUUUAAAAUACAUUCAGGAUUGAAAAUGGAAAGGUCCAUUUAUGAGGAUGUACAAAUUAGUAGGCUUGACAGAUAUCACAAGUGAAGCAGGAAUUCCUUCAGUUUAGAAGAUGCAAGACUUUUAUGGAAUCUUCUCUUGAGAGAUUGAACACAGAAUGUUUGGCUCCUUAUGAUGUGGG